UUUUUUAAUUUUUUAAUAAUAUUGACAAAACAGCAAAGGUAAAUUAACUUCUUCGUCCUCUGCGUUAUUCUUCUAUUUCAGUUUUUGUUUUGUUAUUAAAUUUUAAGAAAAAAAAUUUUUUUUCUUGCCAGGACCGGGAUUCGAAUCUUAUACAAAUAAGCAUGUUAGCCGCAAUUUUGAAAGAUUCUUAAAACGCCCAUGCGCCACCAUCUCCAUUUUAUUUAAUGAAAAAAUUAACUACAAAUAACUACCAUAAGCUACACAGUGGCUCUCAACAUGUGGGUUAAUAAAAAUUUCUGAAGAAAGUACGCACUUUUUGGAUAAAUGAUGUAAGGAUUUUUAACUCGUCUGAUUAUGACAAAUGCACAUGCGAAAUAUUGCUAAGCAUUCCCUAACACCCCGUAUAAUUUUACGUUUCAACACUUUUAAUAGUUUUAAUAUGUAUAAAUGUGUUACAGCACAUUCUUCAUAAUCUUCGAAAAAAGUGUUUUCAUUUGACCGAGAACCGAGAUAUCGACAAACAAAUCACCAUUAGUUUAAGACUGAUAAUUUAGAUGUUAUUGUUUAACAUAUAAAAAUAACUAAUGGUAGGUAUUUUUCUUAGUUCGUUUCGUAAUAAGUAGUAAUAACAUUUUGCCAGAUGAUAAACACUACCAUUUUACUGGAUAGCAAAACAAAAGAAAAUUUUGUAAAAUGUGUAAUUUACAUGAUAGGUACAGUCAAUUUGGUUGUUUUAUCGUCAUCACAUUCCGGCAAGAUUCUAAGGUUUUUUUUUCUCACAAAUAUGUAUAGUAAACUUUUUGGUGAAAGGGGCGGUAAAUUUGAUAUAUUUUAUAAAAUAUGUUACUUAUCUGUCACAUCAAUUAAAUGCAGAGUUUUCCAUGUCAGUCGUCUAUUUCGUGGCCACAGGACUGUUUCAAAUAAAACUUAUAAGACUCAUGGUCUAUCUGUUACUGAUUGCAAAUACACUGGGAUUUUUAGCAAUACUAUAUCAAUUUAUUUUGGAUGCAGAAUUGGUGUACAUAAUUCAAUACGGUCCUAUAAUCUCGGGUAGCACUUACGUAAGUAUUAGAGCAAGUGAAAAAGAAAAAAAUCAUGUUAAAUACUAGGCUCUAGGAUCUUUGUACGGAAUAAUUUUCUUGAGAGAUGCAGAAGAGUUUCAACAUGGAUUCCAGUUCUGGAAUGAACAUGAAGGAAGCAAAGAAACCCAGAACCGAAUCAAGCAACACAUUAAUUCGCUCACAGUUUGCGUAAUUUUAAACACUGCGCUUGCAUUUGUGACUGGUACUAGUCUAAUUCUGCCGAACAAGGACGAAAUUCACUAUCACUAUUUUAUAAAAAUUUUGAUGGAUCUGGAGAGAGUUCCUCGAAGACUAAGUCAAGCUUUAUAUUACUUGUACAAACUGAAUUUUGUCAUGAUGUUUCCAGUCAUGACUAUAAAUUCGUAUCGGGUGCUUUAUUUUAGCAAAAAAUUUAAGUUUCAAGUUAUGUUACUAUUGGAGCGUAUUGAAACACUGACAAAAAAUUACAAUGUGGAUGACAUCAAUUUAUUUUACAAUGCCCGAUAUCAAGACUACAUCAAACAAAAACUCAUAUUUUUCAUUCGGCGACAUUCAUAUAUUGCUCAGUAUGUUGCAAAAAUAAAUAAUUCCAUUGGGCCCUUUGUUGUAUUGUAUGCCAUCUCGGCAACGCUUUUAGGAGUCUCCGUAUUGCUCAUCGUUGCAACUGUAAUUUUUUACACAAAUGUUGCAGCCUAUGACGUAAUUUUUCAGGGCACAAUUUACUACAAUACAUAUCAAAUCAUUCUAUAUGGAGCGAUUUAUCUGAGCACCAUUUUUUGUGCUGUUGAUGGCACUGAAACCGUUGAAAUGGAGGUGAAGUAAAUAUUAGUUAAAUUAAAUUAAAGCGAAUUUUCAGUCGGUUGAAAUUUACAACAAACUGCUGGGUCAACCAUGGUACACUUGGAAUAAUGAGAAUAAAAGGAUAUUUGUUAUUUUUUUGAUGAAUUGCAAAAAACCCUUACAAAUUACAAAAUUCAGCGACACAUUUUACGUUAACUACGAUUGGGGAAUUGCAGUUUUAAAAAAAGUGUAUUCGUUGGGAUCAGUGUUUUUCAACUUGCGCCGAUAUAUCAUCGACAAAUAAUCGUCUUUAAUUAAAUGUACUUCAAAGACGGUAGUUUAGACAUUAUUUUUUAAAAUAAAAACUCAUUUAAAGAUCCGUUUUGUAAUGAAUUUGGCCGAAUGAUAAUUACAGUAAAUCGAUAACGAUGAAAGAAAAUAAUAAUGUAUUUUCUGGUGAAAAAAAUUAAAUCAUUUAAUUGAUAUUUAAGUUAGUGGUAUUACUGUUUGUGUAUUAUAAUAUAACAGUCGUUUAAAGUGCACGUCUGACACCAUGAAUAUUAAAUUUCUUGAUAAAAGUGGCGGUACAUUAUUUUAUGAAAUACUUAUAACCUAUAACAACAAUUGAAUACAGGUUUUUCCAUGGCAGUGGUCUACUUUGUAGCUGAAGGAGUGUUUCAUAUAAAAUUUAUAAGACUUUGCACGUAUUCAGCACUAAUUUCAAAUUCACUAGCAUUCUUAUUCAUGCUGUAUCAAUUUAUUGUGGGAGCAGAAUCGUUGUACAUAAUUAAAUACGGCCCUGUACUUACAGGCUGUACAUACGUUCUUGUAUCCCUGUGGGGAAUACUUUUCUUGAGAAAAACAGAAGAGUUUAAACAAGAGUUCCAUUUCUGGAGUGAACAUAAUGCAAGCAAAGAAAUCCAGAAUCGAAUCAAGCAACACAUUAAUUCCGUUACCGUUUACGUAAUUUUAAAUAUUGUGCUUGCUUUUACAGCUGGUACAAGUCUAAUUCUGCCAAACAAAGAUGAAAUUCACUAUCACUAUUUUCUAAAAAAGUUGUCGGAACUUGAUACAACACCUCGAGGAAUAAAUGAAACGUGUUAUUACUUCUAUAAAAUUAAUUUUGUCUUGAUGUUUCCAAUAAUGACCGUCAAUUCUAACCGGUUGCUUUAUUUUAGCAGAAAAUUUAACUUCCAAGUAAAAUUACUAGUGGAACGUAUUAAAACAAUGGUAAAAGAUUACAAUGUGAAUGAUCCCAAUUUAUUUUAUGAUGCCCGAUACCAAAACGACAUGAAACAAAAGCUGAAAAUUUUUAUUCGUCGACAGGCAUAUAUCGCACAGUAUGUCGCAAAAAUGAAUAAGUUUCUUGCACCAUUUAUCAUCAUGUUCGCCAUAUCGGCAACGCUUUUAGGAAUCUCCGUAUUACUCCUUCUUGUAACUGCCACAAUUUACUACAACAAAUAUCAACUCAUUCUAUGUGGUGCGAUUUAUAUUAGCACACUUUUUUGUGCUAUUGAAGCGACUGAAACUGUAGAAAUGGAGUCCGUUGAAAUUUACAAUGCACUGUUGGCUCAACCAUGGUACAGUUGGAAUAAAGCGAACAGAAAAAGCUUUAUCAUUUUUUUGAUGAAUUGUGAAAAACCGAUACAAAUUACGAAAUUUAGCGACAUAUUUUACUUUAACUACGAUUGGGGGAUUUCUGUUUUUAAAAAAGUGUAUUCGUUGGGAUCAGUGUUUUUCAACUUGCGUCAAUACAUCGACAAAUAAUCACCAUUAGUUUCGUUAUGAGUUUUCCGAAUAAUAAUUACGGUAACGAUGAAAUAAUGGAUUUUAGCAAAAAAUUUAACAUUUCAUUAUGCAAAAAAUAACACCCUCAUAACAAAUUCUUCUAACAAAUUGCAAACAUAAUAUGUACAAACAACAAAGUUUAGCAACACAUUCUACUUCAAUUCAACAUUAAAAAAAGUGUAUUCAUUGGAUUCAGUGUUCUUAAACAGGCUACUAUACAGGAUGUAAGAAAAAUAUGGAGAUAAAAAGGAACCAGAGAUUCUCCAAGUCAAAAUAAAAUGAUUUAACCCACCUUACCUCUAUACCAAAUUGCACGGUUUAAAAGUUAGAGGGCGCCAAAGUUCCAAAAUUAUUUUUGUUUUUUAUUAGUGACUUCUAAACAAAAUAUUAGAUUUUGAUAAAAUUUGGUACAAGUAAUUUGUCAUCAAAACCAGAUGUUUUGGGCUAUUUCUUUUGAUUUUAUGUCAUUGUAAAGUACUUACCUAUCAACUGUUAAACACAUUUUAAAACAUAUUUUUGUUAUACGUUAUCAUCUGAAUGGUGUAAUUCUUUUUUACGGUUUUCACGGUUUAAAAGUUAGAGGGCGCCAAAGUUCAAAAAUUAUUUUUGUUUUUUAUUAGUGACUUCUAAACAAAAUAUUAGAUUUUGAUAAAAUUUGGUACAAGUAAUUUGUCAUCAAAACCAGAUGUUUUGGGCUAUUUCUUUUGAUUUUAUGUCAUUGUAAAGUACUUACCUAUCAACUGUUAAACACAUUUUAAAACAUAUUUUUGUUAUACGUUAUCAUCUGAAUGGUGUAAUUCUUUUUUUAUUCGAAAGCCUUUUAUUUCUGAACACAUUGUGUAUGUUAUAAAAUUUUUGUAUCGGUUUUGGUUUUGGAAUAAAAAAAUAAUUUAUGUAAAAGCGUCAACAUUUCGGACGAUCGUCUAUUAUUAUUAUUGGUUUUAAAAAUGCAUUUAAUUAUUUAUUAUUACUUUACUUAUUAUAAUUGUAAGUGAUAAUGUUUCCGACAGUGUAGAUUUUAAUUAAAUGUGUUGGGUAGAAAUCGAACGAUUUUUAGAAGUUUACAGUUUUGUGAAAAAAUGCCUUUUUGUUUUAAAGUAAUAACUAAUUACAUUAUUGUUAUCUAGUAUACACGUACAUACAGGAACUAAAGUCAAAAUAAAAAAAAAUUAAAAACCCAAUAAUAAUAAUAAUAAUAAAUGGGCGAAGGUCUAAAAUUUUGACACAUCGACUUAAAUUGUUUUUUUUACUCCAAAACCAAGACCAAUACAAAAAUUUUACAAAAUGUUACAAAGAUUGUUAAAAAAGAACGGGUAACAAUUACGCUACUCAGCUAACCUAUGUCAUAAAAUGUGUUAAAUUGUUGAUUGGUGAGAACUUUACAAACAAGAAAAAACAAAAGCAACAGUAAAAAACAUUCGGCUUUGAGUGUAAAUUACUUUUACCAAAUUUCAUUGAAAUCGAUUAUUCAAUGAAAAAGUUAUUAAAGAAAAUCAAAAAUAUUUUUUGAAAUUUUGCGCCCUCUAACUUUUAAACGGUGCAACUUGGUAUAGAGGUAAGUUGAGCUAAAUCGCUCUAUUGUGAGCUGAGGUAUUUCUGGUUCCCUGUUGUCCCCAUCUUUUCGUUACACCCUGUAUAUCGAUAAAUAAUCACUCCAAAAGAAAACAAAACAUUAGUUUAAAAAUGAUAGCUUAGAUUUUAUUGUUUAGAAUAGCCAACACAACAAAAGCAAUAGAUUGUAAUGAUUUUGUUAGAAACAUUAAGGUAACGAUGAAAGAAAAUAAUGUAUUUCACAAUGAUAAUAAAAAUCACCAUUCAUAAGGAUGACAACUGAGACAUUAUAGAAUAAAAACUCACUUAUUCGUAAUGAAUUUUACCGAAUGAUAAUUACGGUAACGAAGACAGAAAUUAAUAAUGUGUUUUUUAGUGCAAAAUAAAUGUAAUAUUAAUUAAGUUACACAGUUGUAUUAUUGUCAUUUUGUCAGAACCGUUCAAAUUCAAUGCCUGACUCACCAUGAAUUUCAAUUUUUUUGAUAAAAGUGACGGUACAGUACAUUUAUUUUAGAAAUCACAAAUUUAUAACAAUAAUUAAAUGCAGAUUUUUCCAUGCCCGUCGUCUACUUUGUAGCUGAAGGAAUAUUUCACAUAAAAUUUAUAAGAUUUUUAGCGUAUUUGGCACUGAUUUCAAAUGCACUAGGACUUUUACUUAUGCUAUACCAGUUUGUUCUGGAUGCAGAAUCGUUGUACAUAAUUAAAUACGGCCCUGUACUUUCAGGAGCAAUUUUCGCCCUUGUAUCUCUGCACGCAAUACUUUUCAUGCGAGAUUUAGAAACGUUUCAGCAAGAAUUCAAUUACUGGAGUGAACAUGAUGCAAGCAAAGAAACCCAGAAUCGAAUCAAGCAACACAUUAAUUCCGUUACCAUUUUCGUAAUUUUUAAUUCAGUGCUUGCUUUUGUAGCCGGUGUAAGUCUAGUUCUACCCAGUAAAGAUGAAAUUCACUAUCACUAUUUCAUAAAAAUAUUGCUGGAACUAGAGGUCGUACCUCGAGGAGUGAUUCGAACUGUUUAUUAUUUGUACAAAAUUGACUAUGUUGUGAUGUAUCCAAUACUGACCAUCAAUUCUGUCCGGAUGCUUUAUUUUAGCAGGAAAUUUAAGUUUCAAGUAAAACUCCUAGUGGACCGUAUUGUAGCAAUGACAAAAGAUAACAACGUGGAUGAUCUCAGUCUAUUCUACAGUGCCCGAUAUCAAAACGACAUGGCACGAAAGCUCAAAACUUUUGUUCGUCGACAUUCGUACAUUGCACAGU